rnacentral:rRNA from 1 species
UAAGCCAUGCGAGUCGACACAGCAAUGUGUGGCAUACGGCUCAGUAACACGUAGUCAACAUGCCCAGGGGACGUGGAUAACCUCGGGAAACUGAGGAUAAACCGCGAUAGGUCACUACUUCUGGAAUGGGUAAUGACCCAAACCUAUAUGGCCCCUGGAUUGGACUGCGGCCGAUCAGGCUGUUGGUGAGGUAAUGGCCCACCAAACCUGUAACCGGUACGGGCUCUGAGAGGAGGAGCCCGGGGAUGGGCACUGAGACAAGGGCCCAGGCCCUAUGGGGCGCAGCAGGCGCGAAACCUCUGCAAUAGGCGAAAGCUUGACAGGGUUACUCUGAGUGAUUUCCGUUAAGGAGAUCUUUUGGCACCUCUAAAAAUGGUGCAGAAUAAGGGGUGGGCAAGUCUGGUGUCAGCCGCCGCGGUAAUACCAGCACCCCGAGUGGUCGGGACGUUUAUUGGGCCUAAAGCAUCCGUAGCCGGUUCUGCAAGUCUUCCGUUAAAUCCACCUGCUUAACAGAUGGGCUGCGGAAGAUACUAUGGAGCUAGGAGGCGGGAGAGGCAAGCGGUACUCGAUGGGUAGGGGUAAAAUCCGUUGAUCCAUUGAAGACCACCAGUGGCGAAGGCGGCUUGCCAGAACGCGCUCGACGGUGAGGGAUGAAAGCUGGGGGAGCAAACCGGAUUA